rnacentral:rRNA from 1 species
UACAGAGGAGCCAAGCGUUGUCCGGAUUGACUGGGCGUAAAGCGCACGCAGGCGGGUGUGCGCGGGGGGGGUGAAAUCUGGCCGCUUAACGGCCAGGCGCCAUCCCAUACGGCACGCCUGGAGUGAUGCAGAGGUCGAUGGAAUUGCCGGUGUAGUGGUGAAAUGCGUAGAUAUCUGGAGGAACACCGGUGGCGAAGGCGGCAUCCUGGACCGAUAUUGACGCUGAUGCGCGAAAGCCAGGGGAGCAAACGGG